rnacentral:rRNA from 1 species
UACGUAGGGUGCGAGCGUUGUCCGGAAUUAUUGGGCGUAAAGAGCUCGUAGGCGGUGUGUCACGUCGAUCGUGAAAACUUGGGGCUUAACUCUGAGCUUGCGGUCGAUACGGGCAUCACUGGAGUUCGGCAGGGGAGACUGGAAUUCCUGGUGUAGCGGUGAAAUGCGUAGAGAUCGGAAAGAACACCAACGGCGAAAGCACUCUGCUGGGCCGACACUGACACUGGAGAGACGAAAGCUAGGGGAGCGAAUGGG